GACGAACGCUGGCGGCGUGCUUAACACAUGCAAGUCGAACGGAAAGGCCCUGCUUUUGUGGGGUGCUCGAUUGGCGAACGGGUGAGUAUCACGUGAGUAACCUGCCCUUGACUUUGGGGUAACUUCAGGAAACUGGGGCUCAUACCGGAUAGGAGCUCCUGCUGCAUGGUGGGGGUUGGAAAGUUUCGGCGGUUGGGGAUGGACUCGCGGCUUAUGAGCUUGAUGGUGGGGUAGUGGCUUACCAAGGCUUUGACGGAUAGCCGGCCUGAGAGCGUGACCGGCCACAUUGGGACUGAGAUACGGCGCAGACUCCUACGGGAGGCAGCAGUCGGGAAUAUUGCACAGUGGGCGGAAGCCAGAUGCAGCAACGCCGCGUGCGGGAUGACGGCCUUCGGGUUGUAAACCGCUUUCGCCUGUGACGAAGCGUGAGUGACGGUAAUGGGUAAAGAAGCACCGGCUAACUACGUG
rnacentral:rRNA from 1 species